AGUGAACGCUGGCGGUAGGCCUAACACAUGCAAGUCGAACGGCAGCACAGUAAGCGCUUGCUCUUACGGGUGGCGAGUGGUGGACGGGUGAGGAAUACAUCGGAAUCUACUUUUUCGUGGGGGAUAACGUAGGGACACUUACGCUAAUACCGCAUACGACCUACGGGUGAAAUCAGGGGAUCUUCGGACCUUGCGCGAUUGAAUGAGCCGAUGUCGGAUUAGCUAGUUGGCUGGGUAAAGGCCCACCAAGGCGACGAUCCGUAGCUGGUCUGAGCGGGUGAUCAGCCACACUGGAGCUGAGACACGGUCCAGACUCCUACGGGAGGCAGCAGUGGGGAAUAUUGGACAAUGGGCGCAAGCCUGAUCCAGCAAUACCGCGUGGGUGAAGAAGGCCUUCGGAUUGUAAAGCCCUUUUAUUGGGAAAGAAAAGCAGCAGGUUAAUACGCCGAUGUUCUGACGGUACCCAAAGAAAAAGCACCGGCUAACUUCGUG
rnacentral:rRNA from 1 species